GAUGAACGCUGGCGGCGUGUCUAAUACAUGCAAGUCGAGCGAACGGACGAGAAGCUUGCUUCUCUGAUGUUAGCGGCGGACGGGUGAGUAACACGUGGAUAACCUACCUAUAAGACUGGGAUAACUUCGGGAAACCGGAGCUAAUACCGGAUAAUAUUUUGAACCGCAUGGUUCAAAAGUGAAAGACGGUCUUGCUGUCACUUAUAGAUGGAUCCGCGCUGCAUUAGCUAGUUGGUAAGGUAACGGCUUACCAAGGCAACGAUGCAUAGCCGACCUGAGAGGGUGAUCGGCCACACUGGAACUGAGACACGGUCCAGACUCCUACGGGAGGCAGCAGUAGGGAAUCUUCCGCAAUGGGCGAAAGCCUGACGGAGCAACGCCGCGUGAGUGAUGAAGGUCUUCGGAUCGUAAAACUCUGUUAUUAGGGAAGAACAUAUGUGUAAGUAACUGUGCACAUCUUGACGGUACCUAAUCAGAAAGCCACGGCUAACUACGU
rnacentral:rRNA from 1 species